AGCUUUGAGCAGUGGCAGUAUCGGAGCCAAUGAGGUUUAUCCGAGGCGCGAUUAUUGCUAUUUCACUUAACAUUAUGGUCUCAAGGUGCAUCCGUUUUCCUACUUGAAAGAAGCCUUUUUGUGCAUUAAUGGAUAAAGAAAAUGUGGCAUUUAUACACAUUG
ensembl:snRNA U4 U4 spliceosomal RNA